UUUAAUUCGACGACAACGCGAAGAACCUUACCAGGGCUUGACACUCCCUGACCGCGUAUGAAGUACGUUUUCACCCUCGGGUGACAGGGAGACAGGUGGUGCAUGGUUGUCGUCAGCUCGUGUCGUGAGAUGUUGGGUUAAGUCCCGCAACAAGCGCAACCCUUGUCUUUAGUUACCAGCACUUCGGGUGGGGACUCUAGAGAUACUGCCCCGGUCAACGGGGAGGAAGUGGGGAUGACGUCAAGUCCUCAUGGCCUUUAUGCCUAGGGCUACACACGUGCUACAAUGGGCGGUACAAAGGGUCGCGAUCCCGCGAGGGGGAGCCAAUCCCAAAAAGCCGUCCCAAGUUCGGAUUGGAGUCUGCAACUCGACUCCAUGAAGCUGGAAUCGCUAGUAAUCGCGGAUCAGCAUGCCGCGGUGAAUACGUUCCCGGGCCUU
rnacentral:rRNA from 1 species